GUGGGGAAUUUUGGACAAUGGGCGCAAGCCUGAUCCAGCAAUGCCGCGUGCAGGAAGAAGGCCUUCGGGUUGUAAACUGCUUUUGUACGGAACGAAACGGUCCUGGCUAAUACCCGGGGCUAAUGACGGUACCGUAAGAAUAAGCACCGGCUAACUACGUGCCAGCAGCCGCGGUAAUACGUAGGGUGCGAGCGUUAAUCGGAAUUACUGGGCGUAAAGCGUGCGCAGGCGGUGCUGUAAGACAGGCGUGAAAUCCCCGGGCUCAACCUGGGAAUUGCGGUUGUGACUGCAGUGCUGGAGUGCGGCAGAGGGGGAUGGAAUUCGGCGUGUAGCAGUGAAAUGCGUAGAUAUGCGGAGGAACACCGAUGGCGAAGGCAAUCCCCUGGGCCUGCACUGACGCUCAUGCACGAAAGCGUGGGGAGCAAACAGGAUUAGAAACCCCGGUAGUCC
rnacentral:rRNA from 1 species